GCGCGGCGGAAGAGGCGCGGCGCGGGCGCCAUGGCGGCGGCAGCGCGGCCGCUGGCGCUGCUCACCAGCUGUGCCGCGGGCUUCGCGCCCGAGGAGCUCGUCAAACGUAUCACAGGAAAAGAUGACCUUACUGUGGGUGCCAUAACAAGCGGCAGAGUGAAUUUCUACCCCUGGACCAUAGAUAACAAAUACUACUCUGCAGAUAUCCACCUCUGCGUGGUCCCAAACACAUUCCACGUGACUGGAGAGAUCGCGGAGGCUGUGCAGGCGUUUGUUGUGUACUUUGACAGCACCACAAAAGCUGGACUGGAGGGUGUCUCUGAAUGGCUUCCCCUGACAGAAGAGUGGCUGCCAGAAGUGAUGAUCCUGGUUUGUGACAGAGUGUCUGAGAACGGUGUAAACAGACAGAAGGCUCAAGAGUGGUGCAUCAAGCAUGGCUUUGAGUUGGUAGAGCUCAGCCCUGAGGAGCUGCCUGAUGAAGAUGAUGAUUUCCCCGAGUCCACGGGAGUGAAGCGCAUCGUGCAGGCCCUCAACGCCAACGUCUGGUCCAACGUGGUCAUGAAGGCUGACAGGACCCAGGGCUUUGGUCUCCUCAGCACCUUGGCAGGAGCAAACAGGAGCCGUGGCUGUGAAGAGACCCCGGAGACAGAAUCCAACCCAUCCCCAGGAGAGAGGGAAGAAUCCCAGUCAGAUGGUGGAGAGCAUGGAGCUGGCACACACAGCCUGGAGCCUGACAGUGCUGCAGCUGUGUUUCAGAUCCCAUGCUGGAUAUGGACAUCCAGGAGCUGGCCAGGCUGACCACGAGGGAUGGGGACCUGGAGAACUUCGAAAGGCUCUUCUCAAAGCUGAAAGAAAUGAAAGACAAAGCUGCCACGCUGCCUCACGAGCAGAGGAAGCUGCACGCAGAGAAGGUGGCCAAAGCCUUCUGGAUGGCAAUUGGAGGAGACAGGGAUGAGAUUGAAGGUCUCUCCUCGGAUGAAGAAAACUGAAUUCCUCUGUAGCUGGAAGUGCCAGAGCAAUCCUGAGGGAAUGAUCCUUCCCUGCAUUAGUGUUCAUUGCCAAAAACACCAUUUAGCUGUAGCUGCUUCCCUUGGUGACAGCAUUCCCCUGUUCCACAUUCCACAACAUCUCCAGGCUCCAGAGGCUUUGCUGACUGUCCUGUCUCCUCUCCCAGAGGACUUUGGGAGGUGACACGUGUGUGGCUCAAGGAAACAGUGAUGAGUUUACAUUUUACAAAUGAACAUUUUAUGAUUUCCUCUCUGGGGUUUAAAUAAACAAAUGUGCUCCCAGUUAUCUCUGCACACAGGGCUGGGGCUUGGGAA